rnacentral:rRNA from 1 species
CUUUACUGUAACUUGAAAUUGAAAUUGGACUUUAUUUGCGCAGUAUAGGUGGGAGGCGUUGAAAAUAUUCUUGCGGGAAUAUUGGAGCCAUCAGUGAGAUACCACUCUUGUAAUGUUAGAUUUCUAACUUUGAAUCAUUAUCUGGUCAAAGAACAGUUUCAGGCGGGCAGUUUGACUGGGGCGGUCGCCUCCUAAACGGUAACGGAGGCGUACAAAGGUUUCCUCUGAACGGGUAGAAAUCGUAUCUAGAGUAUAAAGGCAUAAGGAAGCUUGACUGUGAGACCUACAAGUCGAGCAGGGACGAAAGUCGGUCUUAGUGAUCUGACGGUGCUGAGUGGAAAGGCCGUCACUCAACGGAUAAAAGUUA